GGGAGGUAUGAGGAGGUCCGGGAAACAAGUAAAUGUAAAAGUAGUGAUGAAAAGAGGGAAUUGUUUUUAACUGUUUUUUCUUUUUGUAUUUUGCAUUGUGUAUUUUUCUUUUUAUUCUUGAAUUUUUCUUUUUUGUUGAUGUGAUUCUUUCUUUGUGAAACUUUAAUAAAUAUCAUUAAAAAAAAAAAGAAACUUUUUUUUGCCUAAGGUUUCGUUAAGAGUAUCUGCUAUCAUUUCCUUUGCAGAACAAUAUGACAAGUUUACAAGUUCUUCCCAUAUAACCUCAUGUAUAAAACGAUAUUUCAUUUUGGAUAUGCUUUGUUCUUGCACAAAAUUUAUCACUUUGAUUCAGCUCUAGACAGCUCUGGUUGUCCUCCAUUAGUUGAAUUGGUUUCUGUCUCACUAGACCAUAGUCUUUCAUUAGUUACUUUACCGGUAAUUCUCUUCCGGCUCCUGUAACUGCUGCAUAUUCAGACUCCAUAGAAGGAAGAGUCAUACAAUUUUGCUUAUAGCUCCCCCAAGAAAUAGGUCAAUUUGCAAACAUACAAAUGUAACCUCUGGUUGAUUUUAAAAAUUUAGUGUUGCCUGCACAGUCAGCCUCUGUGUAACCUUGCUUAAUUUAAAAAACCCACUGACAUUCAAUUGCCUUCUUUCCUAGGUAACUGGGAAUGUCCAUAUUUUAUUUUGGUGUAGUGCACCAAUUUCUCCAUAAAUGAGCCUCAGCAUUUGGCAUCUGCUCAAUUUCCUCCCAGUUAGAGGGUUCGCAGAGAAAAGUCUUUGAUAUCUUCCCCACUGAAACAACACUGGAAAUUGCUAGAAUUCCCCACCAGACACAUCACCCCAAAUGUUUUUGAGAAGCUCCUCAUGUCUCCUCAAACUGGGGGGGGGGUAUGUUGGACAUCCAGACAACCACCAAUUUGCCAUGCCAUAUACAUAACCCCACUUAUUUGAUUUUUUUCUUCUUCCUUCCUCCCUCCCUCCUUCCCUUCCCUGCCUUUUCCCUGACUGCACUCAAGGCCUACUGUUAAUAACUGCCUCAACUGACAUAACUGCCUCUGACAAAGGUGUAUGAGAUCACAGAAUUCAAACUUACAAUGCUAUAGCCCUUGUGAGCAUUAACCAUUUCAUUUCAUUUCUUUUUUAUUUUCUCUUCUUUUCUUUUGUUUUCUCUUUUCUUCCCUUCCCCUUUCCCUUCCCAUUGUUCAUCAAAAGAUCUCAGGGCGGUUUACUUUGCAUUUUGGGUGCUUUUGUCCCACAAGCCCCCUCUCAGACAAAAUGCUAUGUACAAUUGUUAUUACCCUUAAACAUUUUCAGUCCCAUUUUGUUUUGAAGAGAGUUGAAACUUUCUUUUGCCUAAGGUUUCGUUAGACUAUCUGCUAUCAUUUCCUUUGCAGAACAAUAUGACAAGUUUACAAGUUCUUCCCGUAUAACUUCAUGUAUAAAACGAUAUUUCAUUUUGGAUAUGCUUUGUUCUUGCACAAAAUUUAUCACUUUGAUUCAGCUCUAGACAGCUCUGGUUGUCCUCCAUUAGUUGAAUUGGUUUCUCUCUCACUAGACUAUAGUCUUUCAUUAGUUGAUCAAACCACUUUAAUUCUCUUCUGGCUCCUGUAGCUGCUGCAUAUUCAGACUCCAUAGAAGGAAGAGUCAUACAAUUUUGCUUAUAGCUCCCCCAAGAAAUUGGUCCAUUUGCAAACAUACAAAUGUAGCCUGUGGUUGAUUUAAAUUUUUUAGUGUUUCCUGCACAGUCACCCUCUGUGUGACCUUAAUUUUAAAAACCCACUGACACCCAAUUGCCCUCUUUCCAGUAGGUAGCUGGGAAAGUGUCCAUGCUUUAUUUUGAUGUAGUGCAUCGAUUUCUUCCUGUGCAGCCUUUCUCCGUAAAUGAGCUUCCGCAUUUGGCAUCUGCUCAAUUUCGUCCCAAUUAGAGGGUUCACAGGGUUGCACUGUCCUUGCUGUGUAGGACAAUCUUUACUGGUGGGAUGCCUUUACUAGAUAAGCAUCUGAUUUCCAGCUGUGAAACUGCAUCAGUAUUUUCAUCACAUUCAAAGUUUGGCAUUUGCCUUUGGACAUAAUCUCCUGCAACGUUGCUUCUGCUAGGAGUUGGGAUCUCUACUCCUUCCUUUUCAUCUUCAGAGCUAGGUGGUGUAACAUUGGAAAACAAAUUUGGGUAUUCACUUGUAAGUUUUGGAAAAUAUAUGAGAUCUUGCGAUUUAUUUUCUCAUUAUUUAGAGGAGUCAAAUACCGAUCCUUUCAUACCCACUUUAACCGCUUCAUCAAAAUAAAUCAUGUCAUCGUACAGCCAUGAGGAGUUGUAGUCCAACAUCUGUAGGGCAUGAGGUUGGUGAAGCCUGGUCUCAAUUAUGAGCCUUCAACCAGUAAUACUUUAUUACUGAUUUGAAUGGGGGGGGCACAUCUCUCCUGCACAUAACAACACUAUAAGGACACUGGGGAGACUGAGGAGCUGGCUUACUGUUGGGUUGGUUAAGGGGUUGCCUGGAUCUUGGGCUUUCAGGGUCGAAAAUGGUGCCAUUUCCCACCCACCC
rnacentral:lncRNA from 1 species